GAAGCUGACCAGACAGUCGCCGCUUCGUCGUCGUCCUUUCGGGGAGACGGGCGGAGGGGAGGAAAGUCCGGGCUCCAUAGGGCAGGGUGCCAGGUAACGCCUGGGGGGGGAACCCACGACCAGUGCAACAGAGAGCAAACCGCCGAUGGCCCACGUAAGUGGGAUCAGGUAAGGGUGAAAGGGUGCGGUAAGAGCGCACCGCGCGGCUGGUAACAGUCCGUGGCACGGUAAACUCCACCCGGAGCAAGGCCAAAUAGGGGUUCAUAAGGUACGGCCCGUACUGAACCCGGGUAGGCUGCUUGAGCCAGUGAGCGAUUGCUGGCCUAGAUGAAUGACUGUCCACGACAGAACCCGGCUUAUCGGUCAGUUUCACCU
rnacentral:RNase_P_RNA from 1 species